UGAGGAAUAAGCUUUGUAGGAAAUGACAAGGUGAUGACGUUAAUUUAUGAAUAAGCCCCGGCUAAUUACGUGCCAGCAGCCGCGGUAAUACGUAAGGGGCGAGCGUUGUUCGGGAUUAUUGGGCGUAAAGGGUGAGUAGGCGGAUAUGCAAGUCUAUGCGUAAAAUACCACAGCUCAACUGUGGAGCUAUGCUGGAAACUGCAUGACUAGAGUCUGAUAGGGGAAGUUAGAAUUCCUGGUGUAAGGGUGGAAUCUGUUGAUAUCAGGAAGAAUACCAGAGGCGAAGGCGAACUUCUGGGUCAAGACUGACGCUGAGUCACGAAAGCA
rnacentral:rRNA from 1 species